rnacentral:tRNA from 1 species
GCCGGUGUGGCUCAGUGGUAGAGUGUAGGUCUGCAGACCAAAAGGUCAUGGGUUCUAUUCUUGGUCACGGGCA